rnacentral:miRNA from 1 species
UAGACAAAUAUGUUUCUCUCUCUCUCUCUCUCUCUCUAUAUAUAUAUAUAUAUAUAUAUAUAGAGAGAGAGAGAGAGAGAAAUAUGUUUGUCUA